rnacentral:rRNA from 1 species
GACGAACGCUGGCGGCGUGCCUAAUACAUGCAAGUAGAACGCACAGUUUAUACCGUAGCUUGCUACACCAUAGACUGUGAGUUGCGAACGGGUGAGUAACGCGUAGGUAAUCUGCCUGGUAGCGGGGGAUAACUAUUGGAAACGAUAGCUAAUACCGCAUAAUAUUAAUUAUUGCAUGAUAAUUAAUUGAUAGGUGCAAUUGCACCACUACCAGCUGGACCUUCGUUGUAUUAGCUAGUAGGUGAGGUAACGGCUCACCUAGGCGACGAUACAUAGCCGACCUGAGAGGGUGGACGGCCACACUGGGACUGGGACACGGCCCAAGCUCCUACGGGAAGCAGCAGUAGGGAAUCUUCGGCAAUGGACGAAAGUCUGACCGAGCAACGCCGCGUGAGGGAAGAAGGUUUUCGGGUCGUAAAGCUCUUUUGUAAGGGAAGAACGGGUGUGAGAGUGGAAAGUUCACACUGUGACGGUAUCUUACCAGAAAGGGACGGCUAACUACGUG